rnacentral:tRNA from 1 species
GUGAGUAUAGCUCAGUGGUAGAGCACAUGCUUAGCAUGCAUGAGGUUCUGGGUUCAAUCCCCAGUACUUCCA